rnacentral:lncRNA from 1 species
AACAAUACUUUACAUUUCAAAUAACUCUUGACACGUUCCUUGUCUUUUCCUAACAGAAUGACAAGUGACUUUAUCUUGAAAGGGAAGGCAGCCUCCUAGAGCUGUCUACGUUGUCAAAAAACAUAAUUUGUAAAUUCUCUGAUUACUUCUGUCACCGUGAGACUUUUCCUUCCUUUUUCAUUCUCCUCUCCCGCAAGAAAAGUCUCUUUAUGUGCCAUUUCCCAAAGUGCUGCACUUACUUUGAAUGUUUUCAGCCCAAAGUAGGAACAAAAAAUAAUCCCUGCCUGGAAUGAAUGAACACGCUGCCAGUUCUUUCUCUCUUUGGUUCUACAUCUGGAUCUUAGACAGCAGAUGGAUGGGGCUGAAGCUAGUGAAAAGAUCACAGAAACAGCAGCCACUUCUGGGAAGAUAUCUCCUCAUGGACAAGUGAUCAGCCUUUCCCCCACAGUACUGGUGCUAGGCUGCAGAGAACAAGACACAGCACACUCUUCUGGCUGCUCCAUCUUGUGGCAGCCCUCACUGCACCCACUGUGAUGGGAAUUGCAGUGCCCAUCCCUCACUUCAAGCCUGCGUUCCUCCUCCCCACUCCCAGCUUCCAUCAGCAUCCUGCAAGUGCUGUCCUUCCCUUUUGGCCUACUGGCAAGGAACAAGGAACAAGUCCAUCCUGGCAUGUAACCACUGUGCAGAGCAGCUGCCAUCCCCAGCCCCAGCACCCUGCAGACAGACCUUCUUUGGAGCCAUGCAUGGUGUGAUUUUGGUUGCGGAGUUCAUCCUAGAAAUGCAUCGGUUUGGGAAUUCCUACAGCCACGUGGGACCUGAUUGGAUAAUGAAAAUCUCAUCUGCAGCACUCACUGGCAAGAAUGGGAAGGAUCAAUUAUUAGCAGUAUCAGCUUUCCUUGCAGUAUCGUCAGCAGAGCCCUCCUUUGGCGUCACUCUGCGUGGGGACAGAUCCUUUCCCUGCUGUCCCUGGGUGACACCAGGAAUU